GCGUCGGGGCCGUCACGUGGCCCGUGCCGCCUGCCGCCGCAACUUGCUGCCCGCGACCGAAUGGUGGUUGGUCACCGGCUUUCCGCUUCGGGGCGUGGCGGUGGCGGCGGCUGGCCAGCGCCCGCACACGCGUGCGGCGCAUGACGGCCGGUCCGGUCACGGUCAGCGUCGGCUCGAGCUUUUUAGGUCUGGUGUGGUGGGUGCUACCUGCCCUGCGCAUCGCAACUGGCAAGGACAGGAGAUAGCGUCUCAAGAUCAGAUCAGGAUAUGUUUCCAAUCCAUGGCGCACUCCUCUGCAAGCAUGACCAAAGUGAAAGAUCGGAAUGAUACGUCUCCAGCCGGCAUCUACGAAUACAGCGAAUCCCUUUGCAGCUGGGAGGAACUGAGCUCUCAUCGUUGACAUCCAGUUGCUUGUCGCGGUGCCGCGAUCGAACUGCUUGCUGAUGGUCGAAGGGGCGUGACUGUUGGACUUCUCUAUCGCUACGAGGACCAGAUGUGGCCCAAACCCAAGGCAGAAAAUGUGCCACGGCCCGGGCCUAAUUCCGCCUGCCCCGGACGACAUUUUUUUUUUCUUUUGCAUGAGGGGCCGUUGGAUCGCUUCAUUUUGGUGGAAUUGGAGUCUUAUUAAUAAAGUAUGUUAUUUG